GGAUGGAUCAUUAUAACAAAAGUGAAAAAAAACAUAAACCAACUUGUGAGGUGGAAGGUAACAACAACCGAACAAGUUUGGUUUUUAAACCAGUGAAAUUCAUAAAGUCCAUAAACUUUUUAAAAAAAAACACCUUAAACCUAUUUUUUUUGCCUUAUACACAAUCUGUUUGUUGGAUUUUCAUCCUUUAAAACAUAAUCAAAAUUACAAUUUAUAGCGGUGGAUGUCUCGGCUAUCUCAUCGAUGAAGAGCGCAGCAAAGAGCGAUAUUUAUUGUGAAUUGCAGAAUUACGCGAAUCAUCGAAACCUUGAACGCAACCUGCACCUAGGGGUAACCCCCCUCGGUACACUUGUUUGAGUGUCGAUUAAAAAUCAAUCCAAAAAUUCAUUUUUUUUUUUUGGGAUAUUGACAGUGGAGUUGUUUUAUUUAACGCCUCCUCUGUUUAAAUUCAAGUACUGGGAAUUGAAAUGAGUUCUCUUUUCUCGUCAAAUUUUUGAAGAUAAUCUUUUUUUUUGUCUACUUUUACACCUUGACCUAGUUGAGAACAAUAUUAAAAUCACUUCACAUUCUUCUGUAAAAAAGAGUUAUAAUUCAACCUAGUGCCCUGUCGUGAGAGACACUAGUUAUAAAAUAAACAUUUUCUCCCCCUAUUUUAAAUCUCUUCGACCUCAAAUCAAGUGUGACUACGCGCUGAAUUUAAGCAUAUAAAUAAGCGCAGGAAAAGAAACUAACCAGGAUUCCCCUAGUAAAUGCGAUUGAAAAGGGAAAAGCUCAGACCGAAUCUGAUGCCUUUGGCAUCCGAAAUGUAGUCUUUGGACCAUCUUCUGCGUUCGAUUGGAUUACCAAGUCAACUGGAAUGUUGUGCCAUAGAGGGUGAUAGCCCCGUAGGUUUUCUUAAAAUCGAUCCAUCAUGUUGGUGAGUCUUAGAGUCGGACUAUUUGGGAGUAUAGUCCUAAGUGGGAGGUAAAUUCCUUCUAAAGCUAAAUACCUGGAGAUAGACCGAUAGCGAACAAGUACCGUGAGGGAAAGAUGCAAAGAACUCUGAAAAGAGAGUUAAAAGUACCUGAAACCGCUAUAAAGGAAACGAUCCUUACCAUGUCGAAAAAGUAAAAGUGAUUCGAGUAAAGUGGGUGUAUUCGGGGAUUUAGAUGAGUUUGCCGAAGGGUGAGCCAUAUGGGUUUCAAGAUGCAUCUAUUUUGCUUUACUUCACUUUCACUAUCAUCAAUAUGUACGGAGAAUGAAAUAGAAUGGGUUGAGGGAGGUAACCCGGGGAAACUUGGGUGAAUGCCUUGAUCAGAAAAUAUUUCAUUCCUUCUGUAGAGGAAACAAUGGGGCGCUUUGCGGAGUAGGGGAUUUUCACGGGAGUGUUGGUUGUGGAUUACUACAUGUAGUUUUCUGUGAUCAAUGCUUUCACCGAUGUUCUCUCUUCCAGCCCUCGUCAUGAUAUUGAAUUAAUGGUACUGAUCGACCCGUCUUGAAAGUGAUAUUUUUACGAGACUGAAAGUUUUAAUGAAAAUUAAAGCUAGUCUGUACUUGUUUGUAGUGUACAGGCAACAUCAUCAAAUUGCGGGAAGUUCCUAAAGUCUGAAUAUACCAAGUUACUUCCGAAAGGUGGUAAUGGCCAGGUUAAUGACCUCGGGUAAGGUAAAAACUAUUCGGAAUACUACAAUGGAUAAUCCGCAGCCAAGUCCUAUUCAACUAGUUGAAGAUGGAUGCAGUUCACAGACUAAAUGUUGAUGGGCAGCAAUGCUUAAGAUAUAGUCGGGCCCCCAUCGAAAGGUGGCUUUUUUUUUGUAGAGAAAAAAGAAACAAUUGUUGCACACUUUUAUUAGAACUGUAACAAAGUUGCAGAAGAGGAAGGAUAACUUAUUCGUGCUUAUCCAAUUUGAUUCUCGACAUGCAGUCGACAACAAGCAACAAGUGUUUGGGGUCAACCGGAAACACGGACCAAGGAGUCUAACGUAUGUGCAAGUCAAUGGGUGACAAACCUAAUGGCGCAAUGAAAGUAAUUUUCCAAUGAUGGGAUGCUGAGACUUUGGUCAAUGCUGCACCGUCAACCGAUCCAAUUUCUCAUCGAGAAUAGAUUUGAGUUUGAGCACAUCCGUUAGGACCCGAAAGAUGGUGAACUAUGCUUGCAUAGGGUGAAGUCAGAAGAAAUUCUGAUGGAGGCUCGUAGCGAUACUGACGUGCAAAUCGUUCGUCAAAUGUGGGUAUAGCGGCGAAAGACUAAUCGAACCGUCUAGUAGCUGGUUUCCGC
rnacentral:misc_RNA from 1 species